GCUUCCUAACCAACUUCCGGCGAUAAGAGUCCUUUCCGACCGGAAUCCAGCGAUGAGUAUCCUUUCCAAUCAGUGGCUAGAAUAGAGAUAUAUAUGCUAGAUUUGUUUCUUGAGAAUCUUCAUGGGUUGGUUUCUGCAGGAAAUCUAGGUUUGAGAACAAUGUUAGAUCUUGUUAGCUGUUUGUAUGGCAUUCUCUCUAUUUUUUUUUCUUUCGGUGGUCUUUAUUGGGCGGCACAAUCCUCUUUUUCCUAUACA
rnacentral:lncRNA from 1 species